GUCCAGAUGACGAGUCCAAAUAGGACGAAAAGCGCAUCCUGGAU
rnacentral:hammerhead_ribozyme from 1 species